rnacentral:rRNA from 1 species
UGAGCAAUCUGCCCUUCUCAUCGGAAUAAGCGUUGGAAACGACGUCUAAUGCCGAAUACGACCUCCUUUCGCAUGAUCGGAGGUGGAAAGCUCCGGCGGAGAAGGAUGAGCUCGCGGCCUAUCAGCUAGUUGGUGGGGUAAUGGCUCACCAAGGCGACGACGGGUAGCUGGUCUGAGAGGAUGGCCAGCCACAUUGGGACUGAGACACGGCCCAGAUCCGUACGGG